UUGUCAAUAUUAUUAAAGUUAGCAAUUAGCGGUGCGACGUCUUGUGUUUCCGCAUAGUUCGCAAUCCAGAUCGCAUUGCUCACUCCACAGGAUCUAUCCCGUUUAGGUCUCUAUCCCUGGAUCCAUUCAGGAUCUAGCUUUAGAUGGUAGCAGAGCCGACCGCGGUUCUCUGAUUUGAAUUGAUUGAUUUGAUUUGAUUUUAUUUGUGUCAGGCAUAUUUGGCCUGUUAUUUGACGUGUUUUCCGUGACCAGUAAGGCACAGGUCUGUCCAACAGCAAAGCGCACACCACAAGCGGUAAAAUCGCCUCAUCGGACGCGGAUUUCCAGCCUUGUUUUCGGUGCAGUGUCUUCAGCGAAGACCUGUACUGUUGCAGGGACUGUGCAAGAGUACAAGAGUUCAGUCGGCAGUGUUCCUCGGUGUAGUGUCUUCAGCGAAGACCUACACUGGUGUCACUGCUACUCGGCAACGAUUCAGCGAAUCCUAAGCCGUGGGGCACAAGAGCCAAAGCGCCGAAAGGGGCGCACGGAGAAAGUAGAUCAGACUCCUCCAAACUGGUAGUAGAGCACCACUACUGUUGCUACGGCAGUCAGCCGGCACAGUAGCAGACUAAAAGCGUGCGGCACAACCGCCACGGAAAAGCGGCAACGCGGAAACGGAUUGUGGAGAAGAAUUGGAUACUGGAUCAUUCCCCCACGGAAAGGACGGUCAACAGGUAGAAAACCGUUAUUAAUUACGGGAUUGGCUAGUUGGUAUAAUUGGCAAUUUCUAUUGGUCCGUACUGAGCUGAGCGUAGGCGUAGGCGGAGUUUUGCACACGGCGCGCAAGUCUGGCCGUUGACCGUGACGUCAGGCAGAUAUAAAUUUUAAACGGACUAACGUGAUUGGUCAGUUAUCUGAGCUGUGAUUGGCCGAAAUUUGAACUGAAUAUUUUGAGCUAGCAGACCAAUCAGAAUGAAGCAAACAACGUGAAUGGGGAUUUUCCGUUGAACUUGAACUGUAAUGGGAAAUUUGAAUUGAGACGAGAUAUUUGAAAGGGAAAGUGACCUUUUGAGUUAAGACAAAGGAGAAUGUGACCUUUCAUUGAAAUGAGCUGGAAAGUGACCUUUAACUUGAAUUGAGCGGGAAAAUGACCUUUUGAGUUCAGACGAGUGGAAAAGUGACCUUUGACUUUAGAAAGUAACCUUUGCUAGGAAGUUGGAAUUGACCAGUUUGAUUCUUUUAAGUGACCUUUAAGAGCUGAAAGUGAUAAACGGUGACCUUUAUCGAAGUUGAAAUUGAGUGAUUAACAGUACAGCGAUACCAGCAGCGGUAGAAUUUCAUUCGCUAACGUGUUCUGAACUGUAAAAACUGUUUCGGAGUUUUGUCUGAAGAGUGACCUUUAGGGCAAACCUCUCGAACUUUUUACCGAAAAAGUCACCUUUAAAACGGAACUUAGCCGAAAUUUUUCAACCGAAAAGUGACCUUUAGCAGGGACUUAGAAAAAUUUCACAGAACGAAAGUGACCUUUUAGACAACUGAAUAAACCAUACAAUAACGUGUGUGUGAGAACAAUUGGCAGGAGCGUCCAAGUUAUCCGAUCAAAUGGACAAGAACAAAGGGGAACCGACAUCCACCGGCAGUCAGGGAAGCAAAGGCUCCCGUAGCUCACAGCAAGGCGCACCAAACCCGUACACAAAGGAUCUGCACACAUACUCACGUCCAGUUGGACAUGAGCGGAACACUCGAGCGCCUAAGGCAUUCGAGAAAAAGGAUUCACGGGGCUCUGAUAGCACUUAUAAGAAGGCGCUUGAGGCGGUUGCCAUCCAGGAAAGUUCCAGUGACGACCAGAAGCACACUCCCGCGUCUACAGCGGGAAGUGAACCGAUGAACCAGACAAAGGUAACUGGGGAGGAAAAGUCCACAGAAAAAGGAGCGGAAGCAGUGGGCGCAUCACAGUCAGAUCCUACCACUAUUGGUACUAUUGAGCAGGAUAAAAAUGUGAACCUGACUCAAUCGGAAAUGGAAAAGACAAAGGUCACCGAAGAGGAAUUGGCUGAACUGGGAUUGGAUGACCUUUCACUGAUUGAUAAGACUGCAGGCGAUGACCUUUGGGCAACUCCAAUGGUCUCGGAUGAAUCGAAUGAAUCAUACUUCACGGAUGAUGAAACGACGAUGAAUAUGUCCUUCCAAUCUGCCAUGAGACAGGCUGACCGUGCUGAAGGGAUGACACCUUUCAAAGACAUACCGGAACACCUUAUUGAACGGACACAAACAGGAAAGGUCAUCAAUGUACGACCACCGUCACCCAACAGUCCCACGUCAACCCUGAAGGGACGUGUGAAGGAGUUGGAAGAAGAACUUGAAACCAAGGAAGGUCAAGCGACGAAGAAGAAACAGGAAUACCAAAAACAGAUAGGAUCUCUCGAUGCUCGUAUUUACGAAUUAGAGCAACAACAAGCCGUUUUGUAAAUUGCAGCAGAUGAAUGGAAGAUCAAAUACGAGCGCCAAAAAGAACUCGCUGAGGAGUAUCUGAAUAUGGUAGAAGACAGAGUAAUGGAAGGUCAUCUUGCAGUCAGUGACCUAAACGAGAGCAUGUCAGAAGAAUUAGCAGAAAGGUCACGGUACAUAGCCGAACUGAAGGACGAAUGCGACUCACUGAAACAAAAGGUCACAGAAGCAGAAGCUAAGAGAGAUGACACGAAGAAGUGAAUUAAUCAUGUUAUAGUUGCUGUUUGCAAGGAUCCACUUGUGCCAUGGACGGUUAUGACGAUGCUUAAAUCUGCAUCAAAGUUCUUCUCAAACGAAUGUGCAAUAAUCUCGUAGUCAGAAUUCGGUCGGAUAAACCGGUUCGAGUACACGAUGAUUCCACCAUUGUCAUCAUUUCUGCUAAGAGCUGGAAAGAUAAUGAUUUGAGCUGGAUUUUUUUGACACUGCAGACAUUUGCGAAAGGUCCGUAAUGUCUAUACUCAGGCAGAACGUAUUUAGUUAUAUAAAGCGUUUGUAUAACUGGGAGAUUUUAAUUUAUCAAACGGCAAUCUUAUUUGUGCGGUCAAAGGUAGCAUUUUUCCACCCCAUAAUUCCGGAAGUCAGCCCAGUUCACCGGAAUUUGUUGCUGCUGAUGUGCAUCAUUUCCGCAUGUUGACGAUUCCGUAUUUCUGAUAAAAGUUAAAUAACGGCGACGAGUAGAGGCGAAGAAAAAAAUCUCAUGUUACUGGAGUUUAGACAAUCUCUUGGUGUGCCUCAAUUUGUGGCGGACAAGUAAAUUCAGCUAUGCAAUAAUAAGUUAGCUAUGUUUCGUUAUACUGUUUGUACAGUUAUUUUAUGG